UACAGAGGGUGCGAGCGUUAAUCGGAAUUACUGGGCGUAAAGAGCUCGUAGGCGGUCUGUUGCGUCUGCUGUGAAAACCCGGGGCUUAACCCCUGGCUUGCAGUGGAUACGGACAGACUAGAGGUAGGUAGGGGAGAAUGGAAUUCCCGGUGUAGCGGUGAAAUGCGCAGAUAUCGGGAGGAACACCGGUGGCGAAGGCGGCAUCCUGGACCGGCAUUGACGCUGAGGCGCGAAAGCGUGGGGAGCAAACGGG
rnacentral:rRNA from 1 species